rnacentral:rRNA from 1 species
ACGAACGCUGGCGGCGUGCCUAACACAUGCAAGUCGAGCGCGAAUGGAGCAAUCCUAGUAGAGCGGCGCACGGGUGCGUAACACGUGGGUAAUCUGCCUCAAAGCCCGGGAUAACCUGCCGAAAGGCAAGCUAAUACCGGAUAAGCCUACGGACUCUUCGGGGUCUGAAGGAAAAGGUGGCCUCUGUAUACAAGCUAUCACUUUGAGAUGAGCCCGCGGCCCAUCAGCUCGUUGGCGGGGUAACGGCCCACCAAGGCAACGACGGGUAGCUGGUCUGAGAGGACGAUCAGCCACACUGGAACUGAGACACGGUCCAGACUCCUACGGGAGGCAGCAGUGGGGAAUUUUGCGCAAUGGGCGAAAGCCUGACGCAGCAACGCCGCGUGUGUGAU